UUCUCCAUCUGCAGUUGUGGCAGUGUCUUAACUUUCCCGGGUCCCUUAGCACCAUCCAGACAUGGGCCUAAGAAGAUCUCCUCAUGGAUUUUGGAGGAUGUCAUUAGUACAACGUUCCCCCAAUGAGAAUGGGGGAGUUCGGCAUCCUGCCCUCUUCCCCUCCUCCAUCGGUGCUCUGCUUCAAGUCACUCCACAGUUGACUCACAGGACCAACCUUCUCUGGGGAUGAUCCGCAGGACUCAGGAACUUCUGAAGCCUGAAAAUGGUGCUGAGGAACAUUCAAGGUAUGCAGAUGCCAGUCACUUGGGCACAAGCUGCACAAAUUGUAAACAGCAAGGUAAGUGAAAACUUUACUAUCUUGGUUCUCAAAAAUUUCACCAAUAUAAAUGAUAGUGGAAGUCCACUUUCAGGACACGUUUCUUGUAAUAGAAAAUUCAGAAAAACUCCCAGCAAAAGGUGUUAAGAGAAUCUUAAACACUUUGAUCUAGAAUUAAACUGAAAUAGACAAAACUUUUAGAAAUUGGUUGUUUAUUCUCCGUAAAUUGGUGCUUAUUCUCCUUAUUUCCACCUUGCUUAUUAAUGUGUGACUGCAGAACAAUUCAAGACCACUCGGUGGUUGUUCCUACCCACUCAGUGGCCUGAGCAGUGGGAGCUGCAGACCAGUCUUCAGUGGCUGGCUGGGCACUCCAGUCUUCUGUUAAGAAAAAUACCAAAAAGCCAUUAGCUCUGUCCCGAAAAGUACUACUAUCCCCACUCUGCCCAACAACCCAUCUAUCAGAUACUCAUGGCCUUCUUUCACACAAUAUACCAAAGACAAAGACUAAGGCUAACAUUCCAAAAACACUUGAAUUCAACAGCAAGGUUAUUUGUAGAUAAGCACACUAAUUAAAAACCUCUUAAUGCUAACAUAAUUUCCUGAGAUUAAAAAUUUAAAAGUUCCCUGGAUACAUACCAGUAGGGAACUGCUGGAUAGGCACAGAGGGCACCUGCACACCUUCAGACCCGUCUGCAACCUCAGGUUGAGUAGCAGUGAACUUAGGAGCUGGAGCAGUCCAUUCACCCUGAAAUUCCUCCUUGGUCACAGCUUUUUCAGCAGCAGCCUGCUCUUCCUUUUCAAUCUGGUAAUAUACAUAUUGAAGUUUAGAAGAACCAACAUAUUUAGUUUCCAAGAAGCAUACACCAACGUAGCCCAAUGCUCACGUGACAACCUUUUGCGGAAGAAGCUUACCUCUUCAGGAUCUCUGUAGAAGUAUAGAUCAGGCAUAACCUCCCAUGGGUGCUCACGGGAAAUGGUGCCACGCAUGCGCAGAACUUCACGGGCCAGCAUCCACCACAUCAGACCCACAGAAUGAGCUCCCUGCAAGUAUGCUGGGUUAUUAGUUGACAUCUAUUCAACCCCAAAUAGCAAGCAAUUCCCUGUUCACCUUACCUGGCCCAUAUCAUUUAGGCCCCUUGGUACCAAAAGUUAUUAAGAAAACACAGGCUGCUUUCCAAAUAUCAUCUCUCUUUGCUGUUAUACAUUAACAGUUUACUUGUAGCAAGGAUUACUAUCAAACUCCACUCACUAGGUCAGAAUGGAGUGUUAGCGAAAAACUUGCCCCUCAUGUAGCACACUACCUACACUUGCGAGUUCAUCAGCCAGUUAAUGGCCUCAACUCCAAGCUCUAACAAUGUGCAUAGGAAUUUCCAAUUCUUUUCUACAGUAUUCAUUUACAAACUGUAAAGUUGUUACCUUGUUGUUGCAUGGAAUGGCAAUGUCCACAUAGCGCAGAGGAGAGUCUGUGUUACACAAAGCAAUGGUAGGCAGAUUGACAUAGGAUGCUUCUGUAAGAGGCUGGUGGUCAGCCCUGGGAUCAGUAACCACCAGAAGACGUGGCUCCCGGAAAGCUGCCUGGAUCUGGUUAGUGAAGGUUCCAGGAGUGAAGCGGCCAGCAAUAGGGGUGGCUCCAGUGGCAGCAGCAAACUUAAGCACAGCCCGCUGUUAGAAUUAAAGGAAGAAUUAGCAAUAAGUACUCCAGGGAUGGUUUCAUAAUACCACACAUCAUCCGUCAAUUCUGUAGUCACAUAAACCAGCCCAUUUAGUUGGGAGCUUCAAAACAUCCUUUUCUUAAAAAUGAAAGAAAGCAUCACCCUUUCGUAAAAGCAUCUAACAAUUCUGGGUUAAGUAAAAAGUCUUUUCAGGUCCUUCCUUACAUGUCCUACCUGAAAUGCUCUUCCCACUCAACCUCACUUCCUCCACUACUUCUGGACUAUACUGCCUGGUUUCAAAUACCAAGUAAAUCACUUUGUCAGUGACUUGGAUAAGGUAUUCACAUGCCUUUAAGUUACUCGCUUAAAGGAACUAGCUAUGAGAAAUGCAUACACCUAACAGAACAGUUUGGAACCUAAUAAACAUUUCUGAGGUCUGGUCAAAUUUAGUCAGUUACCCAAUGUAAAGAAAAGUACAUUACCACCUUUCUUUACCCUCUUUCUUAUUCUCCUCCAGAGACUAUUACCUGCAUGAAAUGGCAACGUCUACAUAGCACAGGAGAGUCUAUGUUACACAAAGCAAUGGUAGACAGAUGACAUGUUUCUGUAAGAGGCUAGUGGUCAGCCCAGGGAUCAGUAACCAGUCCCAGAUUUAUUUUUCUGCCAUAUCCCACAGAUCUAGCAUGUCAGGACCAGGCUAGAUAUGCUUGGUAAAUUUUUGCUGAAACAAGCAAGAGCAGUCCCUUAGUUCGUUCUAUAGGAAUAACUCAAAUCUGUAAAUAUUUGGAGUGUAUAAAAUCCUUAAAGAACUUCCAGAAAUAAUUGUCUAUUUUGUUUCCAUAAAAACUAAGCACAUUGCACAUACCUGGCCAGUAUUCCUAGAGGAUAUGACACUGACGUCAGCAGGGUUUUCAAUGGCAACAAUGGCACGAGCUGCCAGCAGAAGCUUCUC